AACUACUUUGUAUAACGUUCAGGUAUUAUGUGCAGGUGACUGAUGUGAUUCAUAAUAAUGCAAUUGCACAUGGAAAACAUGUUAGUAAGUUGUAAUGUUUUGGAAUUCAAUUAAUGGUGGUGUAAUGCAGAUGGCUGUGACAACACAUAAUACUUCCCAUCCCGUUUCUGAAAGAUAUAAGAAUGAUUUCUUUUGAACCUCGCGGAAUCUUCUAUUUAGAUGCGCCAUCAUCAUCAGUUUGUCUGCUAUUCCAGUUAGAGAUUCAUGCCACAGAAGAAGGUGGCUGUUGAGGAAGGUAUUGUUGUCGGUGGAUGAACCCUUUAGGUAAUUAUCUGUUACUUAUUGGACUCCCCCAAUCAUGAGUUUUGACUCGGAAGAAGAUUUUGAUGAUGAUAGAUACUGAAUUGAAUUUUGGCACAAAUUGUAUUGAAAAUUGCAGUUCAGAGCAAUUUUUAUGAGGAAGAAGGAUGAAUCUUAAACAUAUAUAUGAAUUUAGUCAAAUCCACACGCUCCAUUCAAACUUCUGAAUUUCAAGCACUUGAAUUGAAUAGAUGCUUUUAAUUCUUCUCCCAUCUAAACAUUAGAUAUUUCUGCAAUUUUAUUUCUAUGUUGUUUAUAUCAUUGUUGUUUGAAUAUAUGCUUAAACCUAUUUCAUUCAGAAUAUAUGUUAGCAAUAGUUUGAUUGUUUAAGCUAAGAUGUUUUUCAUGGCAUCGCAUGAAGCUUGAUAGGAAAGUAGUUCCAUUAUAUGUAGGCAUUGCAACUCUUUUUUUCUUUUCUAUUCUCUGGUUGCUGCUGUUUUCUCAUAGUGCAGGAAGCUUUAUGGCGUACAACGUGCCAAGUCAUUAUGCUGGCACCAUUCUGUUUUAGUAUUUGUUGGAUUAGAAUGUACUCAUUGUUUCAAGUGAGUAUUAAUUGUGACUCCUAAUAAAUAUUUAGAUUGAUAAAAUCAAAGGCCAGGGAGGGAGAGUUGGAGAAGCUCUUAGUUUGGGUGUUUUAACAUGUUGAUGUUGUGUGUUUUACUGUUUUAUGAGAUUUGGUGCUUCAUAUGCAGAUAAUAUAUUUCUGAUUUGAAAAUUUCAUCAUUAUUCCGUUGAUUUAUAAUUAAAUUUAUGCCUUAAUUUAGCAUUUUCAUCAUGAUGAGUAUUAGGAAUAGAGUAGGAGAGGUUGGUGAUUUUAUAGAGCACAAUUAUUAGGCUGCUUGGGUGCUUUGUGUUUAUUGAUUUAGGUAUACGUUAAAUCGAUUUGAUGUGAUUCUGAUUCUGGAAUUGGGUGUUGACUGCUGAAUUGGUGCUUGAUAUUUUCGUGUUGGAUUUUUCUCCAGCAGUGGAAUCUGAGGAAGAUUUCAACUGGGAAAUCAUUUUGUUCUCCACUUGGUAAUUAGUGGAGAUGUCAAGUUAUGUGGGUGUUUACAUUACGGAUCAAUCGCUUCAAAGCCAGGCCACACAGGUUGAGCUGUGCAGUCUAGAAUCCAAAGUAUGUAUAAUUGAUUAGUCAUGAAAUAUGAUACAUUUUCUCCGUGUUUACAUACUUAUGACAUACAAUCAGUUUCUUUUUGGUUGGGUUGAAAUGAUAUUGAUUGUGUUGUUAUAGAACUCCUUUUUAUAGUUGGGUUGAAAAUCAUGUUAAUAGAAUCUUUUUUUGGUUGGUCUGAUCUGUAACAGAUGAGAUUGUUUUGUUUGAAUCAAAAUUUGAUCGUUUUUUGUGUGAAAUUAUAAUGGAAUCGCAAAUUUAUCAGGUAUAUCUUAGAUUCUUUGUUGCAUAUUCACCUUCUCACAACUUUUACAUUGUCUCUUGAUUUGAUGUAAUUUUUAUAAUUUCCAUGAUCAACGGAUGCAUGAAGUAAGGAGGAAGCUACUAUUAUGGAGCUUCUUAGGCAUGGGGCAAGAUUUGUGUGAACUGGAUGUUGCUUCUAUUUCUUCUAUUUAUUAGGGAAACAGAACGUUUAGUUUCAUCCUGUUAAUUGUGCAAUAUCUUUUCAUGUCAGCUAAGUUGUAUGUAUAUAAAAACGAAGUUGCAUAUCUUACUGAUCCCAUUCACUCAUUUAUCCUUUUGUUCAUUCAUGAUUGUGUUGAAUUUAUUCAGGCAAAAUGUGUCUUAAUCAUGCAGUUCAAGGUGGUGCAUUCAAGUCCCGCAACAACGUGCAGGCAUAUUUUCUAGUUUGUACUAAUUAACCAAAUACAUGCAACUCAAUAAGAUUUAGACAUCAGUAGUGUGUGAGAAAAAUAUACAUGGAGUGGCAUUUGAAAACUAGAAGAUUUUCACUAUUUUAAUAUGAUUAAUUGAAUAAUCUGUAAAGCAAAAAAAAAAAA